GAUGAACGCUGGCGGCGUGCUUAACACAUGCAAGUCGAACGGUGAAGCCAAGCUUGCUUGGUGGAUCAGUGGCGAACGGGUGAGUAACACGUGAGCAACCUGCCCUGGACUCUGGGAUAAGCGCUGGAAACGGCGUCUAAUACUGGAUAUGAGCUCUCAUCGCAUGGUGGGGGUUGGAAAGAUUUUUCGGUCUGGGAUGGGCUCGCGGCCUAUCAGCUUGUUGGUGAGGUAAUGGCUCACCAAGGCGUCGACGGGUAGCCGGCCUGAGAGGGUGACCGGCCACACUGGGACUGAGACACGGCCCAGACUCCUACGGGAGGCAGCAGUGGGGAAUAUUGCACAAUGGGCGGAAGCCUGAUGCAGCAACGCCGCGUGAGGGAUGACGGCCUUCGGGUUGUAAACCUCUUUUAGCAGGGAAGAAGCGAGAGUGACGGUACCUGCAGAAAAAGCGCCGGCUAACUACGUGCCAGCAGCCGCGGUAAUACGUAGGGCGCAAGCGUUAUCCGGAAUUAUUGGGCGUAAAGAGCUCGUAGGCGGUUUGUCGCGUCUGCUGUGAAAUCCCGAGGCUCAACCCUCGGGCCUGCAGUGGGUACGGGCAGACUAGAGUGCGGUAGGGGAGAUUGGAAUUCCUGGUGUAGCGGUGGAAUGCGCAGAUAUCAGGAGGAACACCGAUGGCGAAGGCAGAUCUCUGGGCCGUAACUGACGCUGAGGAGCGAAAGGGUGGGGAGCAAACAGGCUUAGAUACCCUGGUAGUCCACCCCGUAAACGUUGGGAACUAGUUGUGGGGACCAUUCCACGGUUUCCGUGACGCAGCUAACGCAUUAAGUUCCCCGCCUGGGGAGUACGGCCGCAAGGCUAAAACUCAAAGGAAUUGACGGGGACCCGCACAAGCGGCGGAGCAUGCGGAUUAAUUCGAUGCAACGCGAAGAACCUUACCAAGGCUUGACAUACACCAGAACACCGUAGAAAUACGGGACUCUUUGGACACUGGUGAACAGGUGGUGCAUGGUUGUCGUCAGCUCGUGUCGUGAGAUGUUGGGUUAAGUCCCGCAACGAGCGCAACCCUCGUUCUAUGUUGCCAGCACGUAAUGGUGGGAACUCAUGGGAUACUGCCGGGGUCAACUCGGAGGAAGGUGGGGAUGACGUCAAAUCAUCAUGCCCCUUAUGUCUUGGGCUUCACGCAUGCUACAAUGGCCGGUACAAAGGGCUGCAAUACCGUGAGGUGGAGCGAAUCCCAAAAAGCCGGUCCCAGUUCGGAUUGAGGUCUGCAACUCGACCUCAUGAAGUCGGAGUCGCUAGUAAUCGCAGAUCAGCAACGCUGCGGUGAAUACGUUCCCGGGUCU
rnacentral:rRNA from 1 species